rnacentral:piRNA from 1 species
CUGACCUGCUUGAGUUCCAGU